rnacentral:lncRNA from 1 species
UGACUUACUGAUAACAUUUUAAUUCGUAGUUCUAUCACUUCACAGUUGAGAAAAUACAGAAUUUGCAGAUUAAUAUUUUCUUAGCAUGAUUGGAUCCUAAAACGUUGAAAUUUUCAAAAUGUCUUCUUACUAUUUGUAAAUGGCAUUCACUCUGUUUACUGGCUAAAAUGUUGUCUAUGUUCAUAUCUUACUAACCUGCUGAUUUUUCCAAUAAAAUUAAUUAAAAAAAAAAAAAGGAAAGAAAUGCAACUUCUAGGUCUCUCACCUUGAGCUGCGGUUCAGCUGUUGGGCUAAGAUCACAGAGGAGAGCAGUGGCCGCUGGGCCAAGAUCACAGAGGAGAGCAGUGGCCGCUGGGCCAAGAUCACAGAGGAGAGCAGUGGCCGCUGGGCUAAGGUCAGAGGAGAGCAGUGGCCGCUGGGCUAAGAUCACAGAGGAGAGCAGUGGGACCAGAAGCUGUUGAACCAGCAGUCAGCGGCCUGAUACAAUACGUUUGCCUGCAGCAGUAACGACUCCCUUGCCCUCUGGCUGAAGUUAUGCCAGCUCGGGGAUGCACGUUCAGUGUAGCUGUUAAUUCUCCUCUCGGGACACGCACAUCACUUAGUGGAGUGCCCGGUUCCUGUCCCAGCUACUCUGCUUCUUCUUCUUCU